rnacentral:rRNA from 1 species
UGGGCGCAAGCCUGAUGCAGCGACGCCGCGUGAGGGAUGACGGCCUUCGGGUUGUAAACCUCUUUCGCCAGGGACGAAGCGCAAGUGACGGUACCUGGAGAAGAAGGACCGGCCAACUACGUGCCAGCAGCCGCGGUAAUACGUAGGGUCCGAGCGUUGUCCGGAAUUACUGGGCGUAAAGAGCUCGUAGGUGGUUUGUCGCGUUGUUCGUGAAAACUCACAGCUUAACUGUGGGCGUGCGGGCGAUACGGGCAGACUGGAGUACUGCAGGGGAGACUGGAAUUCCUGGUGUAGCGGUGGAAUGCGCAGAUAUCAGGAGGAACACCGGUGGCGAAGGCGGGUCUCUGGGCAGUAACUGACGCUGAGGAGCGAAAGCGUGGGGAGCGAACAGGAUUAGAUACCCUGGUAGUCCACGCCGUAAACGGUGGGUACUAGGUGUGGGUUUCCUUCCUUGGGAUCCGUGCCGUAGCUAACGCAUUAAGUACCCCGCCUGGGGAGUACGGCCGCAAGGCUAAAACUCAAAGGAAUUGACGGGG